UUUUGCUGCCCUCCUUAGUCUUUUCUUGAUUCCGCGGUAUUGUUGGAUUGAAGCAGCUUGGACCGACAUUGCGCGUACGCUUACGAGAGACUGGUUUCAUCGCUACGAGUAACCUUGUUGCUCAAAGAUGACUGGCAAGUGUCAGUUUCUCCAACUUUAGUUGAAUCAGAUUUGACCGAGGAGGUCCUUGUAUAAGGUUAAAUAGCAAUUCAUAUAUCUCCGUUGUGGUAUUUGCGUAAGUAAGAUGCGAUCCUACUAGAUACCCAUGGUCACCACGUNNNNNNNNNNAGCACUAGAUCGUGGGACGGUUCGCGGGGCGGAUCGAGGGACGUGAGGACGUUCCACUACAUCAACCGCGUUCACUAACGCUUCUGCUGUGCGAUCUACAAGGGUACGUAGAUCGAAUAUCCCCUCUUGUAGAUGGACAUCACCAUGAUAGGUCUUCGUGCGCGUAGGAAAUUUUUUGUUUCCCAUGCGACGUUCCCCAACAUUAUGUCCCCCUCCACGGCUCCCUUCCCAGAUCCGCGUGGGCAAGCCCAGCCAGGCGCUCAUCGAAUGCCAGGGGCCGGACCAGCCCCGCCUAGAUGCCGCAGAUGGGAGCUACAGACCCGGGCGGAUCUGGCCGGACUCGCACGAGCACGCAACCGCCCAAAGUGGAUCCUCUCACGGCCGCCGCACCGCAAACCCCUGCCCUGCUCGUCAGCGUGCCAUCACCUGGCUUCCCGCCGCCGAACGAAGAAUGCGCCGCCGCGCCACGGCCCCCGCUCCAUGGGGCACGAGCGGGUGGGAAGAAGAGGCCCCGCCACCACUAACACCAGCCGGGUCGGGCGGCGAGGAGGGAGGGCGGAAAAGGAAGGGGCAGAGGCGCGGUGAUUAGGGUUCCCCUCGGGUCGCUCCCGAGAGUGACACGGGAGGGGACUCAUGUAAGUUCCGCAGAAAAGGGUCUUCACUCCGAGAACUCCUACUCAAGUUAGCAACACAAGGCAGGCAUAUUGUAUGCAGUACACCCUGGGAGGGUAACUAGUGAACUAGAUCAACCAAAAAAUAACGAUCAAGGAGUUCAUAUUUUGAUAAAAGACUAGCAAAAAGGCCCGUACGUUGCAACGGGAAAAAUAAUUAUAAUCUGCAAUGAUGAUGAUCACAUUAUGUCGGGGUGCUGAUCCUCAAGACCUAAGUUGGGAGACUUCCCGUAUGCUAUGGAGAUUCGCAGACGGUCAUGUGUAGCGGUGACGACGACGGUGCGUCCUCGGCUCAUUCCGGUGGAUGUGGCACUUCAAUGGCCCCUUAGGGACUUUGUAGUAAUUAUUUAUCUUUGUGGGGAGCUAUUUUGUAUCUUGUUGGAUUUAUUAAUAGAUUUUUGGGCCUGUUCGCAAAGAAAAAUAUGAUAAAUGAUGUUGCACAAAAAAUAAAGGUGGGGUGAUUUGUUUGUGUGCUCAAGGUGUUUCUAAAAAUCUUUAUGGACACAAUUUUAAACAAUAUGAAAAUCAAAUUAAGCCAUUUGUUUACAUAAAUGGCGAAGGAAAUAUAUACAAUAGGCAACCUAAAUCUAAUUUCACAAACAAGCAACAUGGAAGAUAAUAGCAUAUUUAAAAUCUACAUAUUUUUCUGAUGGGUUUUUCUAUGUAAUAUGUUGGAUUUAGAAUUGAUAUUUGAAUAGCAUAUUUAAAAUCUACAUAUGUUUCUGAUGGAUUUUUAUAUGUAAUAUUUUUAAAUUUAUAAUUGAUAUUUAAAAGAUAUAAAUAUUUAAAAAGGUAUUUUAAUCUGCCAAGAAAAUUAUUCUCGCCCAAUACAGUCUUAUGGAUACAUAGAGAAAAGGGGUAAAAAAAUAGUGAAGGAAAAAAGAUGGUGGUAGCUGGGAUCGAACCGCGCUCUACCGUGCAUGAGAGAGAGGCGUUAGCCACCUAGCUGCCCAUGUGCCUGUGAUUUAUUAUGAAAUUUUUGUAUAUAUGAACCAAAGAGGAUGGCUAAUGUUUCAACCCAAACCGUUUUUCUACUUAUCCGUGACAUGGUGGGUAAUUAUUUGCAACUUCGGGGGCAAUCUCAUGACGGACGAUAGAAGCAAUAUUUGCUUUAUUAUUAAUAGCAAAAAUACCCGUACGUUGCGACGGGAAGAAAAAGUCACCACUCAUACACACCAUCAAGACAUCAGUAAAUCUUUUGAAAUCUUUGACGAUGUAACAUGACAAAUAACAUGUUAAGUGGUGUUGCGCAUAAACAAUGAAAAUGGAAUGAUUUUUGAAGUAUACUCAAUAUGUUUUAAAUUGACUGAACAACAAAAAUAUCUACCUAAUAGGAGAUAUCUCAUUACUCAUUUUUUGCCAUUCCUCCUCGUGACGCCCAAUAAAUACUUGCAGUACGAUGAAAAUAACAUCGUACAUUUUUUGUAUACAUCAAAAAGUUUUGUACUGAAGAUGUUUUUAAUUUAUUAGAUAACAAAAAAUAUCUACCAUUCCUCCUCGGAGAUGCCAACAAAUACUUGCAGUGCGAUGAAAAUAACAAAGUACAUUUUAGUUAUUAAUGAUAGCAUAUUUUUAUCUUUCUUUCUUUGGUAUAUUUUUCAGGGUUUAUGUUAUUUUUUGCUUUCUUUGUUUUUUUAUACACCAAGAAUAAUUUUUAUAUACAGGAUUAAGAUUUUCCAAAUAUAUAAUUAACAUUUUUGAUAACUUAUAUUUGUAUGUCUAUUUCUCUCAAAUACACCAUACAUUUCUUGUAUACACCCGUUUUUUAAUAUAUUUUAUGUCUACUUAUAUUUUAAUAUAUUUUGUGUCUAUUUUUGUCAUAUAUAUUGUACAUUCUAUAAUUUGUAUAUAUAUUUAUGUCUACUUGUUUUUGUUAUGUCUGCUUUUCUCUUAUACAUAUAAGUUGUUUUAUAUACACAUUUGACAAUUGGAAAAUACAUGAUUAACAUUAUGUAUAUACACAAUUAACAUUUGGUAAAAUAUUUUUUAUGUCUACAUUCUCCAUUAACAUUGUACAUUCUUGUAUAGUUAACAAACAAUAAUAUGUACACAUUUAACAUAUUCCAGUUUCAUGGUCGACAUUUUUUUAAACAUAUAGUUUUUUUGCCUAGUUUUCCUAUACACAUUCAACAUUUCUUGUAUACAUCAUGAUCAUUUUUAAUACACACAUUUAACAUUGUCCAAAUACAUGAUUCUUGAAAAUUUAUAAUUUUUUACGUCUACUUUGUUCUANNNNNNNNNNGAAACUUGCAUUAUUAUUUUCCUAAUUUUAAUUUCCAUAUACAUGAUUCUUGAAAAUUUAUAAUUUUUUACGUCUACUUUGUUCUAUACACAUUGUAUAUUUUUUGUAUACAUCAGAAACAUUUUUGUGACACAUUUAACAUUUUUAAAUGCAUUCUUAUCUUUUUUAGAAAAAACCAAAACUUGCAUUAUUAUUUUCCUAAUUUUAUUUUCCAUAUACACUACCCAUUUGCUUGUAUAACAAUGAAAACAUUUUUUCGAGACAAGUUUAACAUUUCUUUAACGCAUAAUUAACAUUUUUUAAAAAUUUACAUAUAUAUUAUUUUUAAUAGAAAUAUUCAGAGGUUUUUCGAAAUAAAACAAAAAGAAAGAAAACCCAAGUCUAAGAAACCACAAAAAAAAAGAGGAAGGCCCAUGCUGUGCCGGGCCAAUUGGGCAGCUGUCAAUAAUGGAAGCGAAAAUGUAGAAGAAAGAGGAAUGGGAGUUCAUUGCAAUUCGUAUUUAAUGGAUAUUUAUUGCAAUUCGUAUGGUCGUCGGAAAGAGAGAAAAAAAGACAGUGCAUUACAGAUUAAAUUUGCAUAAAAAAUAAUAUUUAAGAAGUAUUCAACAGCUAAAAAUAACAUCCUAGAUUCUACACAUUUUUUCAAUCAAAUUUCAUAUAUAACAUGUUAAAAUCAGACUUACGGUUUAAAAGAUAUGGAUAAUUUUGUUUUAGAUAAAAUAUGGAUUGAUUAACUGAAAAGUCAGGGUUUUUUUGUUAAAACAAAAAACAUUUCGGCUGACAUAAAUAGGAACGGCGGGUUGAUUACCUGAAACAUCAAGGAGUUUUCUGUAAAGUGCAAAAAACUGUUCGGCACCGACUAAAAGAUGGACCGCGGGUUGAUUAUCUAAAACAAUGAGGACUUUUCUAUAAAAGGACAGAAAACGGUUCGUUCUGACUUAAAGUUGGACUUCGGGUUAAUUAACGGAAACUACGAGGACUUUUCUACAAAAUGACGGACGAUGGGCGACAGAAGCGCUGCGCGCUUUAUUAUUAUGGGAGAUUAAGGAAAGAAAAGGCAGUGAAUCUGCUCCUCAAAAAAAUCUGCUCCCCCGUAUAUGGAAUAUUUUUCUAAUAGAACAUGUACAUAAAUCUUUUUCUACCACAAAAAAAGGUACAUAACCCAUUUCAUUCACACAUAUAGGACGCAGCAGAGAUACAUCCAUCAGCAUUAACCACAUUCUCCCCCGCAAAAAAAACAUUAACCACAUUCUAAAAUGGCUUGUAAACAUCCUAUGGCAGCCGUGUCUGUUUUUUAACUUUACAUUUGCGCUUAAUGUAAAGGAAAAUACAAGAUGUACAUAUCCACUUGCUUGGAGCCUUCGAGUAAAAUACACAGAUUAAUCUAAUUUACAACGCUGUGUGUGUAUACUCUCUCUCCCUCUAUCUUUCUACAUUGUAUAGGAGCAGACACUUUACACAACUAACUCCUUCUAGAACAGAGAACUCGAUCGUAAACAAUGUAUACUUGUGUACUUUACACAUGUUGCCGACACACAGGGCAUGAACCGUGGCCACUGAGCCAUUUGUCCACGCAGAGCUGAUGAAAUACAUGGGAGCAAUUGGGUAGUCUUCUCGCCGUCUCACCGGCUACCAUAUCCUACAAUAUCAAGAAGCACACUACUAAGAAGAAGCACACUACUAAGAUUUAGGAGAUUGAGAACAAAUGAAAACAAGGUUACUAGAAAAUAAUAAGAGAUUUUAAGAUGCUCCCUCUUACAUCCUAUUCCCUCAGUUUCAAAAUACUUGUUGAACUGAAACCACGACAAGUAUUUUGAAACCGAAGAGUAGUGGUAAGAGAACAUUUAAUCUUAGCCCUUGAUUUAUCAAUGACAUUUUUGACUAUUCAAAUAUGGGUAAGUAGAACAAAAUUUAAAAAAUAUUACCAACAUAUUUAAUGGUUUUCUUUCCAGACAGAGACUUCCCAUUCGUCAGAAAAGUUUCUAUCUAUAAUAUGAGGCGUGUGAUACGCAUCGGGUGAUGAUAGUAUUGGAUCAGUUACCUCCGCUGCCUUUGGAUGACGUGCACGAUAGCCCUUUGAUCUCAUGCGUGUAUCCAUAAUUUGCAUAGAAAUCUUUGCAACAAGCUCAUUUUCACAAAUCUUUGCAACAUAGCUCAUGUUGCACAAGGCUUUGCAACAAAGGACAUGUUGCAUAACAUUGUCGCCAUCGCAGUAUAAGAAUCUUUGCACCAGCUGACCUUAUAUUGCAGAAACCUAUCCGUUCCAUAUCCAAAUCCUUAAGCCUCUUGGAGCCAAAGGUUGUCUCCGUCACUGUUACCAUAGAUGGCGAGCUAGAGCUGGACUACGAUAUGCCCGGCGGCGCGAACACAAGUGCUGCGCGACACAACGAUGUUGGAGGAAGACGGGAAUGAGCGGGAGAGGAGAGAGACGAUGAAGGAGGCUGAAAGACCGCGGUAAUUGUUUCACUUGUCGGUGGCCAUUGCUGCUCCUAUCUUAGUCAUCAUCGAUCGCCGCUGCGGAGAUCCAAACGUUGUCGUCGCUGCUACGUGCCGAUUGGCCCACCAACAUUUUUGUCCUAAAAAAACUGACAAAGAAAUUGGAAAAGAAGAGAGAGAGAGAGACCAUGCUACCUUUUGGCCCAGGACAACCCAACCAACUCGCCCAAGUGAACUACGCCAGGUCUAGCCCACGUUCAUCAAUUGUCGUCUUCCUUAGCUCGUCGACUACCCACGCAUUGGUACGCGCCAUCGUUGGCCAAUGUCUGUCAGCUGCGACCACAUUAGCUUGAGGACGGUUACUUAGCGACGAUGUCAGACCCCUGGACAACCCCAGCUAGCUUUCCCUCUCUUCCCCCACUCGCUCUCCUCCCCACCCGCAUCUGAGAACUCCCGUCAUCACGACCUUCGCCCUCGCCGUGGCCAUCAUCAUCCCAUUACCGUGAGAAGCUGUCCAAGAGAUGCUCACGCCUCGACUACGUCGCCUCAUAGGAUUACCUCGAGCAGGACCGCCCCAACGCGAUCGGAUCGACCGUCUUCCUCAUUUGCCACCACCGGAGCACCAUCAUCAAUUUGUCUCCCCUACGCCACUAAACCACAAAUGAUUCUAUCUGUUGUGCUCAUGGUUCCCCUACGAUGACGCACAACCCCCUAAGCCACUGGAUCCGUGCCCACCUGCUCGGAUCCGUUGAGUACCGUCGUUGGGCAUCGCCAAACUCAUCAUUGCGGCUCAUUACGACCCCGUCUGUACAUGCCAGUCAAUGUGCAUUGUCCCACUCAUUUGAACUUUAUCCCCCACCAACCAAAUGGUGACGGAAGAUGAGAUUUCGUCCGUCGUGGUAGUAGUAUUGGUCAUGGGAGCAUGUUGCCAUUUAAACAAUGCAUGGGUCAUUAACGUGGUGGACCAGGUAGCCAGCUAGUUAGAUUAAACUAAUUAAACUAUUAAACUAUGUAUAUUUCUUAGUUGACUUAGAUUUUGGUAUAGUUGAUCUAAAAUAAAUUGCCUAUGACAAGUGGGCCUAAUCCCUACGCUUCUUGCACUAAGUAGAAAGACUUGACGGAAAUCUCCGGUUGGGUUGGUCCUACCAAGAAAGGCAUGGGAGUGGAGAGGAAGAAGUGAAAGACCGGUUACCAAUAAAUAUCACUCACUGCAUACUUUAUAUAGUUAUGUAUUCAUGAUGGACUGCAUGCUCUAGUGUUGAAUCAGCUAUAGAACCUAGGAUGCUUGGUUACAAUUCUGAAUCCGCUAUUUUCACUUUGUUGAAUCAUAAUAAAGAAUACCACUCUCUGAUGAUUUUGUCAGCAUCCAACUGUUCUUGAAUUGGUGCUGACAAUUCAUCACGAAAUAAAUAACUCACUAAGUCGGGAUCGGUAACUAAUAAAAUAGUAUUACUAACUAAUACUAAUAUAUAGAAAUAGAGUUUGAUCCUCGCUCAUGAUGAAUGCUGGCAGCAUGCUUAACACAUGCAAGUCGAGUAAGAAAUGGUGUUUCCAGCUAAGAACGGAUGAGUAAUGCAUAAGAACCUGCCAUUGGGAGGGGAACAACAACUGAAAAUGGUUGCUAAUACCCCAUAGGCUAAGGAGCAAAAGGAUAAAUCUGUUCAACAAGGGGCUCACGUCUGGUUAGCUAGUUGGUGAGGCAAUAGCUUACCAAGGCAAUUAUGACAGUACGGGAAUCCCCGUAAGCCUACGGGGCACCUCACUCUCAAAGCAUGGAAUGCUUCUCACACCUUGGAUCCCUCGUCAUACACUAUGGCUAUGUGUUUUUACUUUCCUUUUCUUUUUUUCCUAUGGAUGAGGGGCCCAUCUGUAAGUUAAAGUGAGGGGAUAGAGUGUCGUUUCAUUAAAAAAUUCCGGACAAUGGGACCCACCCGUAAGUGCCACAUAGAGACAGGGGUAAAAUGUCCACCAAACGCCGUGUAGACGGUCAAAGCCCUUUGACUGGAUGGUAACAACACAAAAUGGUAUUUCUAUAAGGGCACAUAACGGCAAAGGGACAAAUUUGAGAACACUUCGAAAUUAGAGGUAAAUUUGAGUAGUGGCUUUGAAUUAGGGGCACAAAUAAAAAAAGUCUCCUAAAAUAACCUAACAAAUUUAAGAAAACAAGUUGGAUCAUAUUCAAAGUUUGAACAUAAUUUGCAUAAAAUGAUCGAUAUUUCGAUCGAUUAACUAAAAGCUACAAGAAGAAAAAUACUAAACCAUAUACCACACAACCACCUCGUAUGCAUGGUGGUCCUGCCCUGCUGCACCACCUUCGCCGUUCGUGCCAACGUAGUUAUCGUUCUCCCUCCAAUGGUGGAAGGACAGCGAAAGGGCGUCGGAAGGUCGUGACACCCUUUUGCGAUGACUGCAUGGCGCUCACGGAGGAUCCGCUUGGACUCCUCCUAUGCGGUGGAGAGGGCCUCCGUGGAUAGAGCUUGCCCUUUUCGGAGUUGGCGGAGGAGUUCCUAAAUGACUACUCCUCGUCGAUCUCGACGAGCUGCUAGUCAAGGCGGUGGCAUCGAUGAGCAACCUUCUCUACGAUGGUGACAGAGCAGUCGAUAGCCCAUGCGACGGCUAGGUACGGGUCAUUGCGGACCCAUUCUGGCGCCGUGUUGGACUUCAUGAAUUUGGAACGGUGAGCGACAUUGCGUCAAUCAUACCACACAUGUUGCCUCACCGUGUGCUCCUUGUCGGACACGAGGGCCCUAUAGCCCGAGGGACCUUCGUAAAUGCCUCCUCCGAGGGAAUGGAGGAUGCGGCCCUGCACCUUCAUGAUCACGGGCGGCAGCUCCUCCUUUACGGGGCGACGGUUGUGGCAUGGCGGCAACACGGGCGUACUAGCUUUAUACCUGGGGUGAUGUGGACUCGUCCUUGACGCGUCNNNNNNNNNNNNNNNNNNNNNNNNNNNNNNNNNNNNNNNNNNNNNNNNNNNNNNNNNNNNNNNNNNNNNNNNNNNNNNNNNNNNNNNNNNNNNNNNNNNNUCAUGAUCCACUUACACUAGCUCAAGUCCGAUCAUCACGUGAGUUGAGUAUAGUUUCAGUGGUAAGCAUCCCUAUGCUAAUCAUAUCAUCUAUAUGAUUCAUGAUCGACCUUUCGGUCUCAUGUGUUCCGAGGCCAUGUGUGCACAUGCUAGGCUCAUCAAGCUUAACCCGAGUGUUCCGCGUGUGCAACUAUUUUGCACCCGUUGUAUGUGAACGUUGAGUCACGUGGUGUCUCGAAACGACGAAUUAUAGCAACGGUGCACAGUCGGGGAGAACACAAUUUUGUCUUGAAAUUUUAGUGAGAGAUCACCUCAUAAUGCUACCGUCGUUCUAAGCAAAAUAAGGUGCAUAAAAGGAUUAACAUCACAUGCAAUUCACAAGUGACAUAAUAUGGCCAUCAUCACG
rnacentral:lncRNA from 1 species